rnacentral:rRNA from 1 species
AUUGAACGCUGGCGGCGUGCUUUACACAUGCAAGUCGGACGAGUGGCGGACGGGUGAGUAACGCAUCGGAACGUACCCGGUGGUGGGGGAUAACUAUUGGAAACAGCAGCUAAUACCGCAUACUAUUGGAUGUGCCCAUAUGGGAUUCGCUAGUUGGCGGGGUAAAGGCGCACCAGGGCGACGAUCCGUAGCGGGUCUGAGAGGAUGACCAGCCACACUGGAACUGAGACACGGUCCAGACGCCUACGGGAGGCAGCAGUGGGGAAUAUUGCACAAGGGGCGCAAGCCGGAUGCAGCCAUGCCGAGUGUAUGAAGAAGGCCUUCGGGUUGUAAAGGACUUUCGUCAGGGAAGCGGUACUCGCAGAAGAAGCACCGGCUAACUCCGUGCCAGCAGCCGCGGUAAUAC